AUGGCCUGUGCACAUCUCCAGCUUGCCCUCAUUCCUUUUGCUCCUGGCGAACAUUUUUCUGGAAAUUGUUCUCCUGAAUCACACAGCACCAAAUCAAACAAUUCUGGAAAAACGCCACACAAGGUUCUUAAAUAAGCUGAUUCUCGAGUAGAGUAUGGCAUAGGCCAACAUCAUCAUGCCACCGGCACGGUCAAAGGAUAAUGGUCUGGUGUGAGUACAAACACACCCCAAAAAGCUAUAGUUUGUUAAAUAUGAUUGUAUUCUAAUUUUAAUAAAUAACAAUCACGCACGCAAACUGUUUAGCCAGCCUCUGACCUUCUCCGCCACACAUGUGGCAGCGCAGCCUGUGGAUCUUCCUCUGGAUUGUGGAUCCAAGUGAUGGAGAGAUGGGUGCCACGUUGCUGUUUCGGGCUGUGCCCGGCCGGGCUCCGUGGCAAACCAGGUGCUCGCCGGUGAGCCCUCCCUCUGGGCUCCAGAUGAGGGCCCCGGGCUUCCUCUGGGCAGGGUCUCUACUCCUCUUCCUCAAUGUUUUUCAGUCUGGCCCCUCACCUGGAACCACUUUUCCAUGGGAGACCCUACCAGGAGCACUUGGCUCCAGGCUCACAGGGGCCACCUCUCCGCCACGGUAAGGUGAUGGUUCCCAAAGAGGAGGCUCUAACUAUUUCAGUUUGGCAGGAAUCUGCUCCUCUUCUUUCUCUUCCCCUUGACUGACACAAGGUCUGUAGUUUGGUGAUCCUUAAGGGCACGCACACUUUGACCCGAAGGAUACCUCGCCUUCCUCCUAAACAUGAGAAAGUACAGGCUGUACUUCGUUGUCAGCUGCUUCUUAGUCCUGAGUGUGAACAUGGUGGACUGUUUGGGAUGAUCUGCCACCACUUUGUUGAGGGACCUCAAAAUGCAGAAGAGAAUUUGGGUUCAUCUAUAUCAAAGCUGCUCUGCUAGGAACCGUGAAACCUGGCCUACCUCCGUAUCGUCCCAUUCGAUUUCUCCACAAGGCCAUUGGUCUGUGGCCGGUAGGGAGAGCAGAGACUUCUUUCAGUGCCCAACUUCUGACACAACCCAUAGUUGACCUUCAAAAUGAAGCAGUCAGCACAGCAGCAGGCCUUAUUAUACGUUGGGGACACAUACGGCACCAUAACUGCACCUUGGUGCAAAACUCUGAGCCCUGGUCUGUUAGCAGACCUUAAGCUGCACCAAAGUUGUAAAAGAAAUCAAGUAUGCAAUUUGUCACCUCAACUGCACUUCUGCUUUUGAGUGGGAAGGCUUCUGCCCAUUUGGUGAAUUAAUCAACCAUGACAGAUGUACGGAUUGCCACCAAGUUCAAGAGGCUCUGUAACCUGAGAGAGAGAGAAAAAAAACACAUGAGAAUGAUAUCGCUGAUAUGUUUAAACAGUGUCAGGGUGUGCCAUCGUUUCCUUUACCUCUGUUGGGUUGUACUGGGCAUUUUCUUUGAUAUUAGACUUUCUGCCUUUGAAAAGAUUCCACAUUACACUCCCCUGUGCUCCAUCACAGGGAUGCACGCAGGUGAAUGAACUACAAGUCAUCUUAAAGUUACAGCAUCAGUACAAUAACUGGAUGUCUUAUUCCACACAGUAUCACAGCAUAAUAUGCUGUAAAUUAUGUAUCAGCUUGUUCCAACCCAAGACACCAUGUUUUUAUGUCUGUUCCAUCCCAUUAAUAUGAAAUAUUCUAGAUUUCGUGGGCAUCAUUUUAUAGACAUUUCUCUAGAUAGGAUAGGAAGGAAAGGAAAUAAAGAUAAGUUUAGUUAUAGUAAGUAAGUAUAAGUAGAGUUUGAACAGUGUUUUGCUGUACGUCAUGAGUUUAUGAUGACAAUACACGCCAAGUCAGUGUGGUUUAAACGGUUAGGAAGGAAAUUUGCAUGUUCUCAUUAAUCUUGAUAAGAAGGCAAAUCCAUACAGAUUAAGUGUAAGCAAAUAUUUUUGAUAAGUGAAAUCCUCUUUGGUGGAAUUACAUUUUAAUUUACUAUGUCAUAGUGUGUUACUUUCUUCGUUUUGGGAACCAGCUUGAGGUCUGUUUUACACUGACAAAAUAAUUCUGCUUCUGCUGUGUGCUGUUUCAGCUAGAAGUCUGAUUGUUAUAGAAAUCCUCAUUUAGACCAUCAAGUGUGAUUAUUGCAGUAAUAAAGGUAAUAAGUUAUCUUACUAUAUCAUAUGUUAUUUAGCUAAGAAUAAUCUCACUACAUCCUAUAGGCUAACUAAAAUAUUUUAUGGCUCUUCCAUAAAACAUUUUUUGUAUUAUAUGUCCUUUACCGCCUUUCUGUGUUUUAUUUAAUUGUUAUAUUUCUAAGCACAUUUGAAAGCAGCAUGUGUUUCUGUAGUUAGUGGAUGUGGUUUGUUGUCACUGUGGUGAGCUGAUUGUGUAUGUCGGUGAUAUUAAAUUAUUUGAUAGUUUACUGAUCAGCACUUUACCUGCUAUGGUGCUUUCAGUGUCAGCCUGUUUUGUCUGUAAAUCAGAGUGGUUGUUACUGCUCCCUGUCACCACAUCUCAUGUUCGGUUAAAUCCGUUUGAUUUUGGAGAGAAGAGGCCAUAUGUGCAGAUGUUAGUUCAUGUUCAGGGAUGAGUCUAAGCUGAUCACAGAACUUAGAACAUACUUUUUUAGUCCGAGUUCUGUUUCUUCACCACAGCUUGUUUUCAUCCUUUUCUGUUAUGUGGUUUUUGUUUUGUAGUGUCGUAGAUUACAGAGUUAAAAGACAUAAUAAGAAAGAUUUCGGGAAGAAAUCUCUCAAUUUUUUAUUAAUAUGAUAAUUUCAAUAACAGCAGGAAGAACGCAAGUCAGAGCUAAAGAGCCCCUUCCCUAUUCCACAUAAUGACUUUUAUAUGUUCAAUACAAAUCAUCACUCCUCCCUUAGGUGCUCUCAGAAAUGCUGAUAUCUCCCAAUAUGGUAACAAACUCGCUCUCUAUCUAUUUAGUAUUGGCCAAUUUUUUAAGGAACUGGGACUUUUUGGUGUUCCUGCGGCUGUUUCCUGGUAUUAUAUAUUUAAAUAGCACAACAACAAGGAAGGGGGGUGAUGCCUGCUCCAACCUUAAAGAUUUCACAACAUACACAGUAUAAGAAAAGAGGAAGGAGACUGGGAUUGGGUGGGACAAUGUCCCACAUUCAGCCCCUUCUCGGGCAGACUGGAGUUCUAUUUGGUUCUCAGGGGGGCAGCACAGGCCGCUUCCUGCUUCAUCUUAGACAGGUUUGGUUUCUCUGAGCUGUUUACGGGAUGCUGUCUUUGUUUUGUUUUAAUCUCCACUAUACCUUCAUCCCAAAAAGGCUGAAACGCAUCUUGACCUGAGUCCUAAAACUGUAUAUUGGUUGUAACCUUUGAUGUUUUACAGCCUGCUGUUAGCUCAGUGUCACUUGAAUCAUGUGGAUCUUAUCCUGUUUCUCCAUGUUUUGCAUAAAACACAUCUUUAAUCUCUCCUUAAUUUGCAUACUCUCACAUUGUGACAGAAGUGUGCAAGAGCACUUUCUACACCUCUGCAUUGAAUGUUUGUUAGAAUUUCAACCAACUCAAAUAAUCUACAUAUUACAGUUUAAGACAUCAACCUUUUCCAAAAAUGUCCUUUUAUACACAAGAAACAAUUCAAAUAGUGAAAUCUUCCAGGCCAUUUCAGGUUUAACUCAUUCACUCUGACUGAACCUGAAGGUCAGAUCAACUUCAUCAACACAAACAUACUUAGUGUUAAAUGGCCCCUAAUGAAAGCUGAGAUACAGAAAUAGGAACUCUUGAACCCUGAAUGUUUCCUUACACUUUGUCAGUUUAUCUCCACCCAUUGUCUGUCAAUGGGAGGAGAUAAACUGUCAUAAAUUUUAAUGUAUUCAGUGGGCAGCAGCUAUCUCACAGCACCAUGUCCAUAUUUAGUCAAUGCUGAGCUUCAUAAAUGUGCAGGUUCAUGGUUUGCAUGAGGAAACGUGAGAGUAUAAGUAGUGGUGGUUUGUGGAAGCUGCUGGAGACUCUGCAGACAUCAGACACACAGGCCACAGCUGCAAGGACUAGACAAAAGUCAGGGGAAAAAAAGAAGUGAAAAGAACUUUUUUGCUUUACACUUAAAAA